rnacentral:rRNA from 1 species
GACGAACGCUGGCGGCGUGCUUAACACAUGCAAGUCGAACGGAGUUGAGGAGCUUGCUCCUUAACUUAGUGGCGAACGGGUGAGUAACGCGUGAGGAACCUGCCUUUCAGUGGGGACAACAGUUGGAAACGACUGCUAAUACCGCAUGAUACUAUUGGCCGCAUGGUCUGGUAGUCAAAGAUUUAUUGCUGAAAGAUGGCCUCGCGUCUGAUUAGCUAGUUGGUGGGGUAACGGCUCACCAAGGCGACGAUCAGUAGCCGGUCUGAGACGGAUGAACGGCCACAUUGGGACUGAGAUACGGCCCAG